GGAUAGAGCACGGUCACCUCCCCGCUCAGGACCCGGUACACACCGUCAUCCCCGCCCCUCACUCGGUCAGCCUGCAGGGGUUUUCCACACAGCAUCGUUAUUGUACAAGAUUACCAGCUUCCACCUUCACGAUCCGCACCUGAGCAAGUAUUGGCUGGCAGCGCCUCCAAUCAACAACGACGAGGAUUCUAGAAAAACUGUCCAGCUCACAACCAAGCAAUAGAAAGGAACAUUUUAGGCCAGGCAAAGGAGUUAUCUGAACUUUUGAAAUCAAGGGGAUACCCAAGAGAUGUGAUAGAAAAUCUUGCAUUUGAGCUAGAUCACAUGAAAAAGAGAAAUUGCUGAAAAGGAGAAAAAGGGACUGGUCUAACAACAUGCCCAUGUACUCUUAGGAAGGGGCCAUCGCCCUGCUCUUAUUAGGAAGCGAUUGGGCUUCCAUCAGGACCAUCGGGGCUGCUCUUAUUAGGGGGCGAGUGCUUCAAGAUCAACACAACAUUUAAACAGUUAAAUAACUGACAUCGAAUUGAUUUCCGAUGUCCAUCAUUACUGACAGAUGUCAACUGUCGGUUACAACGUCGACCCGACUUUCAAGCCUGUACUCCUGAGCCCGUCCUGACGGACAGGAAUCCCGGGGGUACGACAAUACCACAUAUUACAUCGGAUGGGAAGCCUGUGAAUGAAUAGGGAAUGUGGUAUACGAACUAUAGAAGACGCACGUCACAAAGGCAGUUUCCACGACAACACCGCCCACUCACCUAUAGUCUUUUUUCUGAAGACUCUUCUGUCCCACAUCAUCUAUAUAUGUAGAAGUAAUGCUGAAUUUUCCUGAGGACCUGGAGAGUGUUGACAUGUGACAUAGUGAUACUUGAUAGAUUUUUGGUUAUUGACAUUUACUAAGAGCCUACAGCCAUAGAGGGGAGAAGGAACUACAGGCUGCUGAAAGGUAAUACCUCAUUUCUAAUGUGAUUCCCUUUGAGGCGCUUGGGACAUAGUAGCUACAAUUGUAACAUCUGGGCUCCGACCAGACACGCUGGCCGUGAGUGCUCUCCUGUCAUGUCCCCGCUGCUGGCAGGGCUGGGAUUCGCAUUACGGGAUGCGCCCGCAUGUGAAUACCAGCCCGUCACUCACCUCCCUGGUCUUCUUGUUCUCGCAGCCCCGGUGCGCUUGCCCCCUCCUCCUAUGGCCCGCGUGCGCUGGAGCUCUUACAAUUAAAGGGCCAGUACUCAUUUAAAUAAGUGUCUAAACUCGCACCUUGUCUUUAAGUAUCAGCUCCUCCCUUUGUUCCCUGACGGAUCUUUGUUGCCUUUGUGCCCUAGAGAAAGCAUACUGUGUUCCUGUUAUCUGUGUACCUGAUCCCUGUUCCGUUACCUGACCCUGCACCAGUGCCGCCUGCCCUGACCUACUGCUACCUUGACUACGUCUUGCUUGUUUCCUUUUGUGCCACGCCACAUCCCAGCAACCUGUGUGGAUGAGUUGUGCCAGGGGUUGCGACCUGGGUGCCGCCUGCCGCAGCAAGACCAUCCUGCUUUGCGGCGGGCUCUGCUCCCUGGCACGGCUUACGACAUCAUCCACACAGGCCCAGAGAAACCACCACCUGCCGUGACCCGUUACAACAAUGCUGAGACUGGAGAACGAGUUGGGGACUCCUGAGCAGCAGAAACAUUUGUCAUGAAGCCGACCCUACUUGCAGUGGACAGACAAGAGAGCACUGAGCUCUCCUCCCAAGGUCAGGAGGAGCAAAGCUAGAGAAGGGGAGGGAAUGAAGAAGAGUUAAAAUAUGGUUGGGAGUGUGCCUGACGUUACCUUGGUUUCAAUCUACCUCUCGAAACAGAUUAGUAAAUUACUAUAUGUGACCAUUUGGGUGGCCAUUAUAAUUCACCACUGUGUAUAUAUAAAGGGAAUGUGUUAUCAGAAAAUAACCUAUUGUUAAACAUAUUGUGAAAAAUUUUUUUUGUUAAUGUUAUUUCUAACUUUCCAUUCUACUGUCUGUAUUUUAAGA